AAUAUUCUAAUUAUACAUCUAAGUUCUCAAAAAAGAAAAGGUAAGGAUUGUAGGAUCUAUUGAAGUUACUUUUAUGAUUGUUGUCAAUAUACUGAAAAGUUACUUUCGCGAUUGUUGUCCGUAUACGAUUCUCACGUGCUAAAAGGCAGCAGUUACAACCUUAUUUCACGCUCUUUUGUUAAGAGAGAAUGGUUACAAGUGGGGAUCCGUGUAAGAGUAUCCUACUCAAUACCAAAUACUCUCUCAGUUAUUCUAAUAGGUAUUAGGACUCACUUGAUUCACAUGAAAAUAAUUAUUCAUAUAUUUGAAAAAAUAUAAAAUUAUCAGGAGCCAUUUGAUAUUACUCCAAUUCUCCGAGGCAAAAGCCAGGAGAGAGACGCGAGGCAUGGAGGAGGGAACAGAAUUCGUUUAUUUACAACCCUCAGAUUAAUCAUUGCGGUGGGAUUUUGAAGCAAGCGAGAGUGGGGUCCACCUCUGCGGAGUACGGUAAAACGUAAUGCCAAGUGGGUGGCGAAGACUGUAGACGUGGGGAGUUGUAAUUGGUUUCAACUCGCCUAUAAACAGCUUGAUGUAACGCACGUCAGAGUAGAUACAAAAUAAAACGGAAGGACUGCACUUGGAGUCGCUUUGUUGUCGUAAGGUCUUCAUUUUGGUAAGGGAAAAAAUUUAACGUAAUAGCUCAUUUUAUUUAUAUUUUUUAAAUAAUAAUUUAAAAUAUUUUUUUGUUA
rnacentral:lncRNA from 1 species